UGGGGAAUAUUGCACAAUGGGCGAAAGCCUGAUGCAGCGACGCCGCGUGAGGGAUGACGGCCUUCGGGUUGUAAACCUCUUUCAGUAGGGACGAAGCGCAAGUGACGGUACCUGCAGAAGAAGCACCGGCUAACUACGUGCCAGCAGCCGCGGUAAUACGUAGGGUGCGAGCGUUGUCCGGAAUUACUGGGCGUAAAGAGCUCGUAGGCGGUUUGUCACGUCGUCUGUGAAAUCCUAGGGCUUAACCCUGGACGUGCAGGCGAUACGGGCUGACUUGAGUACUACAGGGGAGACUGGAAUUUCUGGUGUAGCGGUGGAAUGCACAGAUAUCAGGAAGAACACCGAUGGGGAGGGCAGGUCUCUGGGUAGUAACUGACGCUGAGGAGCGAAAGCAUGGGUAGCGAACAGG
rnacentral:rRNA from 1 species